AGAUGCACACUGAGUUUAGUCUGAGAUAUUUAGCUGCCUUUUAACGGUAAAUCAUUCUAUUAGUAUUGGCUGUGUGGCACAGUGUAAGUCCUCUCUCUUCGAGUCGAGUAAUCUACGCGUAUGGACCCGAGCUUUCAGGGCUUUAGCUAACACAUGGGGAAGUGCGUUAGAAAGGGCCAGGACCUGAAUGAGCAGCCGUGCUUUCUGAAACAUUUUUCUAAAUGCCGUCCAUAUGUCUGGGAGCCGUCAGAGACUGUGAGAGGCAGAGAGGCCCGUCCGUUUUCAAAGACAAUAUCAGCAGAUGUACUUCAGCUCAAUCACCACACGCAUCCACAUCAGGGCCCCGCGAGCAUGUAUGACUUCACAGGAUUCAUGGCAGUCAGGAGAAGCUUAAAUGUUGCCCGCGGAGUGAUUGUGUGCGGAUCACGCUAUCAGAGACAAGCCAAAUGAUUUUGUGUCUGUCAUUUUCUUGGGGUGAUGUGAGAGUUUGAAUGAAGAGAAAGAAUUGUGUGUGUUAUAAAACGAACUGCUCAGUUGUCAAGUAUGUUAAUUUCUUAAAGGACCAUGAAACUGUUAUUUUAAAACAAAGGGCUUUUGGAGGAGGGGUUGGGGAGAUUGUAUCCUUUCAUGCAAGUCUGGCUCACGAUCCCUCUGUUUAUUUCCUCUAUGUUGCCAGGGAUUGCCAGGAAUAAAAGGAGAAAAGGGUGACCGAGGAGACAUGGGGCCUAGGGGACCCCCUGCGCUCUCCACCUCAGCAGGCCUGCUCAGUAAUCAGAUUCUCACAGUGAAGGUUUGUUCUUCGUCUGCCAAAACCCACCCCGCCACACACACACACCGACACACCCACACACACACACACACACACACACACACACACACACACACACCCACACACACAUAUGCCCAGUACUGUCUGUCUCCACAGCCGUGUCACUCUGUGUUGGGGUCCACACAGUCUCCUCUUAAUGCUUCUGGUUUCCAGGUCUUUGAUGCUGUUCCGCAGCCUCUUCUCAUCCCUCCCUUUUCAUACUGUUCCUUUGCUCUCAAGCUUUUUUGCCUUUCUCUUCUUGUGGUGAGAAAAGGGCGUGUCACUCAAAACUGUCAUCUUUUCAUUAGCCGCCUUUGUUUUCAGACUCUCUGUUUUUUUCCCUUCCUUUUCCUGUUUCUUUUUCCUCUGCUUCUUGGCUGUAGAUGGUCUUCCCUCGACACGACCACGGCUUUCUUUCAGGUGACCAGCACGUUUUUCAAAGGCGCCUUCUGA
rnacentral:lncRNA from 1 species